AUACGUAGGGGGCGAGCGUUGUCCGGAAUUACUGGGCGUAAAGAGCUCGUAGGUGGUUUGUCGCGUCGUCUGUGAAAUUCCGGGGCUUAACUCCGGGCGUGCAGGCGAUACGGGCAUAACUUGAGUACUGUAGGGGAGACCGGAAUUCCUGGUGUAGCGGUGAAAUGCGCAGAUAUCAGGAGGAACACCGGUGGCGAAGGCGGGUCUCUGGGCAGUAACUGACGCUGAGGAGCGAAAGCAUGGGUAGCGAACAGGAUUAGAUACCCUGGUAGUCCAUGCCGUAAACGGUGGGCGCUAGGUGUAGGGGUCUUCCACGACUUCUGUGCCGUAGCUAACGCAUUAAGCGCCCCGCCUGGGGAGUACGGCCGCAAGGCUAAAACUCAAAUGAAUUGACGGGG
rnacentral:rRNA from 1 species